AGGGGUAGCUUGCUACCCGCUGACGAGCGGCGGACGGGUGAGUAAUGCAUAGGAAACUGCCCAGUAGUGGGGGAUAGCCCGGGGAAACCCGGAUUAAUACCGCAUACGUCCUUCGGGAGAAAGCAGGGGAUCUUCGGACCUUGCGCUAUUGGAUGUGCCUAUGUCGGAUUAGCUAGUUGGUGGGGUAAAGGCCCACCAAGGCGACGAUCCGUAGCUGGUCUGAGAGGAUGAUCAGCCACAUCGGGACUGAGACACGGCCCGAACUCCUACGGGAGGCAGCAGUGGGGAAUAUUGGACAAUGGGGGAAACCCUGAUCCAGCCAUGCCGCGUGUGUGAAGAAGGCUUUCGGGUUGUAAAGCACUUUCAGUGAGGAGGAAAAGUUAGUCCUUAAUACGGGCUAGCCUUGACGUUACUCACAGAAGAAGCACCGGCUAACUCCGUGCCAGCAGCCGCGGUAAUACGGAGGGUGCAAGCGUUAAUCGGAAUUACUGGGCGUAAAGCGCGCGUAGGUGGUUUGAUAAGCGAGAUGUGAAAGCCCCGGGCUUAACCUGGGAACGGCAUUUCGAACUGUCAGGCUAGAGUAUGGUAGAGGGUAGUGGAAUUUCCUGUGUAGCGGUGAAAUGCGUAGAUAUAGGAAGGAACACCAGUGGCGAAGGCGGCUACCUGGACCAAUACUGACACUGAGGUGCGAAAGCGUGGGGAGCAAACAGGAUUAGAU
rnacentral:rRNA from 1 species